rnacentral:lncRNA from 1 species
CGGACAUGGCUGGAAGAAACGAUGCUGCGUUAGCUGCUGCUCUACAAGCUGUUGCCCAAGCUGUGGGACAACAACCUAACGCAAAUGCUGGUGCGAACGCGGAAGCUAGGAUGUUGGAGACGUUCAUGAAGAAGAACCCUCCGACUUUCAAAGGACGUUAUGACCCUGAUGGAGCCCAGACGUGGCUUAAGGAGAUUGAGAG